rnacentral:tRNA from 1 species
GCCCAGAUGGUGAAAUUGGUAGACACGCUAGCUUCAGGAGCUAGUGGCAGUAAAAUGCCUUGGAGGUUCGAAUCCUCUUCUGGGCACCA